rnacentral:rRNA from 1 species
CCCUUAGAUGUCCUGGGCCGCACGCGCGCUACACUGAAUGUCUGAGAUACGAGUCUGCCUGGUCCGGCAAGGUCUAGGUAAUCGCUAAAAGACACAUCAUGCUUGGGAUAGAUUAUUGCAAAUAUUAAUCUUGAACGAGGAAUUCCUAGUAAGCGCAAGUCAACAGCUUGCGUUGAUUACGUCCCUGCCCUUUGUACACACCGCCCGUCGCUACUACUGAUUGGAUGUUUAAGCGAGGUUCUCGAACUGCUAGCGACUUAGCUUCGGUGAGGUCGCAGUGUGGGAAGUGAACCUAGCUUUGGUGUCUAGAGGAAGUAAAAGUCGUAACA